UCGGGUUGGGACUUAGGUGGGCUCUUAACAACUGCAAACUAGGCAAGCCAAUAGAUCUGAUUUCUAUAAUAUAUUAAUAUAGAAAUAUCCAAACAGAUCCUAAAAAUAUUCAUAUACUGAUUUCAACAUAAAAAGCUAAAAAUAUGUAAGGUUAUUUGAGAAAAUAUCUAGAUCCGAUUUGAAUCAUUUAGUUGAAUAUUUUAAGAUAUAGGCGCGAGGCAUCUAAUAGAAAGGUUAAGAUGGCGAUUUAGUUGUUGAGUUUUUCUUUGUUCGUUUAUCUGUUUGGGGG
rnacentral:lncRNA from 1 species